UUGAACCUUGCUUGAUAAAUGGGUAAUAACUCAAAUCUCUAUGAACCUUGACAUAUGUUUUCACUCCUUUGUCUGUACUUUUUCUGUUCUUCACGUUUUAUGUUUGAUAUUUACAGCUUUAGUUUCUAUAUAUUUGAAAACUCUGCAUCAGUCAAUAUUUUUCUUAAUCACUAAGCAGAAAGGUGUCUUUUUUCUUCCUGAAAAGAAAUUGGUAGAAACAGUUAGAAGGUUACAAAUUGGGGUAAUUUGCAGUUGCAACUACAUCUUCUGUUGUGUUGUUAUACACAACAAAGUUUUGAUGAAUAACCUUGGAUGUAUUAAGUGAUAACAACAUAAGCUCAAACGUGCAAAUAUAACCGAGGAGGACUGAAUUCAUGUUUUCUUCUAUUUGGACAAACAAUAAUGAUGAAUGUGAGCCAAAGUGUGAUAAUCAGGUUGAAUUGAGUUUAGCUAAAUAGCCACAAACCGCUAAAUCUUCAAGGUUGCACAAGAGUAAAGGUCAAGUGAAGUGGUAUAUUUGGUAAACCUAGAGUUGGAACGACAGUUGAAACAGGUAAUGGUGAAGCUUAUCAGAUUUUGAGGGAUCCAGCACAAAGAUAGGAUUAUGAUCGGAACGAGAAUUAUAAUUUUAUCUUGGUAAACGUCAUUAUCGGGUAAGCACAGCGGAAGAUACUCCCUGUUCAGUGGUUUGUUUGCAGGUGGGAUAUGACUCACGGGAAUAGUACGUGGUUAGAUUAAUUUGCAGUAUCCUGGCUUUUUUUUUCUGGUAGAUCUAUCAAUCUUUUCCUUUCUUCUGCACAAGUAUAAUUUUCUCAUGUACAAUUCAUUUUCUCUGUUCAACGCAUACCGAAUAUACCAUCUUCUCCAUUUGAUGUUUUCUUUGUUUAAAGUGAUUAUUUAUUUAUUUUCGGAUAUACUAAACCACUAUACAUAUUUUUCUUAUCUAGCUUACGUUGUCAAUAAGUUACUCUACCUUCAUUAUAUAUAGGUAUCACUUGACUGCAUAUCUAUUAUACGGUGAAUCAAAAUGGGAUCCCAUGGACGAUGCACGCCAAAUUACACAAUAAGGAUGCAACUAAAUUGAACCGCUAUCUUAGAUCAAUUGGAUUUUUAACCAUGUAGUUGUGGGUUCGACUCACACAGAUGGCAUAGCAAUGAGCUUAUUAUUUUUAUAGACAAUGUUGCUGUGAAGGCAGCCACCACUGCGACCAUUUCUUCUACUUCUUCAAAAAGUGAAAUUUCAACUUCAUUUGCUUUCCUUAGCUCUCACUUUCUAUCCAACAGCUCACAGCUCUAAUCUUUUGGUUCGAUCAAGGGCUGAAAGAGUCUUAGAGCCUUAGAGGGAGAAUGGACCGGUUCUUAGAAUGGGAAUUUUUUCCCUAAUUUUAUGAAUGUGUGCAGGGUUAGGGAAAGUGAUAAGUGCCAGAAGGAGAAAAGGAAGAUAAUUUCAACAUGUUCUCUUCUUGAAUAUAAGCAGAAUCUACAACCAAUAGUCCUUCGUUAAGGUUUUACUUUUCUCCUUAUCGUUCUACAACUACACACAAGGGAUAAUGAAUAACUUGGAAAGCUUUACUUAAAGCCUUUUCUGUUAGAAAAUAGGUCUCAACUCCUGAAUCAUCUGAGAAGCACAGUUUGUUCUUUUCUUAAUGGGGUUAUGGUCCUGAGUUUGUCAUUUAAAAUAUACUUAGAUAUUAUGUGUGCAUUGGUUAGUUUUAUUGGUUUAUUGUUUGAUUGUGGAGCUUAGGCAUGGACUUUGCUCUAUGUUAUCUGGAGAUCUCAAUUCGCACAAUCGCGACUCAACUGGAAGGGCUAUGGGGUGAGGUCCAAUGGACAAACAACCCCAACAUCUUGAGGUCUUAUUACCUUACCUAGAUUGGCAGUGGUUCGGAUGAAUUCUGGAGAUACUUCAACACCGCCAUUUUGACUAUUUUAUGAAAUGGACUACUUUUCCAUCCAUGCCAACACCACCAUUAUGCUUCACAGACACUCCACUAAUGUUAUUCCUGUUCUGCGGGUAUAUUAGUAACAUUACAGGUCAAUUUCUCUUACUCUCUCCCGCUGUGUUUGUGCAGUAUCCAUUGUGGACAGGUUAUUUAUAUUAGCUGCAUAAAGGUACCGAGUUUGAUAAGAUGACUACUAUUUGCAUUGAUGUUAGAUAUCAAUUAAAACAACUACAUUUGUGAAUAUAAUGCUUUCCUUAAUUGGAUUAUGUAUUUGAUCAACCCAUCAGGGGGGAGUAACGGAAUCCUUAGCUUAGCUGGUGUUUACAUCUUACUUUUCGGAUGCAAGACUGGAAGUAUUUUUACAAACUCUGGGCAUGUGUCAUCAAUGUUAUAUAUUGAUGCUCGAAGUAUCCAUAUAGCAUCUAGAAGUAGCCAGUGUCAUCAAUUUAGAUUCGCAGAAUCUGCUUUCGGAUUGACAUUAUAUUCAGCAAAGCUGAGAGUAACUCAUGUGCAGCUAAGAUUAAUAAUUUGAUGUUCAAUGUGAUCUAUUAACCGUUUCAAAGGUGAGUUAAAUAGUUCCAUAUACUUGAGAUAACAUUGGUUCAUAUAAUAGAAUUUGUUGCCCAUGGGUCUGUGCGGUAUAAUAUACAAGGUAGGAUUAUAUAUUUAUUUCAAAAUUCGUUAGACUGACUGAGAUUGGCUCUAUUUUUUGUUAUAACACUGUGUACAAGUUUUUUUUUUUAAUUUUUUUCCUUUUCUUUAUGAAAGUUAGGAGUUAGGUUUUCAAUUUAGGAAUUUGUUUAAAAUCAGUCAGUACUAAAGUAGAGCGAGUUUGAUCAGAUUUCUAAGUUUCGCCAAUACCUAAAUAUUUUUAGUUUUUUCCUUUCACUAAUUAUAGGAUCAAACUAUGUAGUGAUUAAGGUACAUACUGUGGCAUUGCUUAUGUUUCCAAUGUCUAAGCAUGUUGCUACGAAAGACUGUUCUUUGUUAAUUUAAUUUCUCUAUAUAUCUGAGGAAUCUUGCAGACAAGUUAAAGUUCAUUACAGGAGUAUUGCUUGGCGAGUUUCAAAGUACUGUGACUUUAUUCGCAAUAAUGAAACUUUAAUUCCAAAUUUUGGUGAAACUGCAAUAGGAUGACUUGCUCCUGUUGAUUCUGACAACCUUGCUAAUCCAAAGGUAGAUUGCAGCUUCCAAGCCCAAUGACUGGUGGUCAGAUAGGAUAUUAAGCUGUAGCUUUCUUUAAAUCUCAAAUUGAUUAAUUCACCUAAAUCCCUGUGAACAACACUAUGCUAGUGAGUUACAAGUGGUGUUGUAUUUUAUAUUUUUUGUGGUUUAAUUGUGUAUUUCUUCACUGGAUCAUAAGAAGGAGAAAGUAAUGGUGUUGGCAAGAAAAAAUAUCGGAAUCCUAAACGAUAAAUCAAUACAUUUUAAGCUGUAAACGUCAUACUUGGAUGUUAUAGCUACUCGGUCUAUAUUUUUGUCAUGUUCAGAAUAAAUGGGUUGCAGAUGACAAGCUUCGAUUUUGGAGUGAAGGAGAAGCAGCCGAAGAACAUGGUUGAAUAAUGUCAUCAUUGAAAAGCUUGAGGUUGUCCAUAGGAUGUUUGACUGCAAACCCAUUAAGUGCCCGUAUUACAAAAGAAAACAUCAGUUCCAAAAAGUUUAUCUUCAUGUCUUAGGGAAACAAUAAGGAAGUGGUAGUAAGGAGCAAUUGAUGUCGCCAGACAGUUCACCUGGGUUUUUGGGGGAUGUUGCUUCCAUCUUAGUCAAAUGCGUAUGUCUGGAUAUCUCUUUGUAGAAACUGUUAGAAAUCCUUGAUGCAAAGGAAGCCGGCAAACGUGUGUGGAAAGAUAUAUUUUCUUUCUUUUGGAGCAUCAUACAUUUAAGAUCGAGUGUAUUUAGAGUCCAUGAACAAUGGGAUCAGAUAUUUUGGCCUAACCAUUUAUAGUUUUGGAUCAAUAAAUGACUAGGUUAGCUAUUUUAAACUAUCAUCUCAGAAUUGUAAGCAUUAAUCCUAAAUUAUGAACAGUGAGCAAUUUAUUUUUUUA